GCCCAAAUGGUGGAAUUGGUAGACACGCUAGUUUCAGGGACUAGUGGCUGUAAGGCUGUGCAGGUUCGAGUCCUGUUUUGGGUA
rnacentral:tRNA from 1 species